rnacentral:rRNA from 1 species
GAUGAACGCUGGCGGCGUGCCUAAUACAUGCAAGUCGAGCGAACAGACGAGGAGCUUGCUCCUCUGACGUUAGCGGCGGACGGGUGAGUAACACGUGGAUAACCUACCUAUAAGACUGGGAUAACUUCGGGAAACCGGAGCUACUACCGGAUAAUAUAUUGAACCGCAUGGUUCAAUAGUGAAAGACGGUUUUGCUGUCACUUAUAGAUGGAUCCGCGCCGCAUUAGCUAGUUGGUAAGGUAACGGCUUACCAAGGCAACGAUGCGUAGCCGACCGGAGAGGGUGAUCGGCCACACUGGAACUGGGACAGGGCCCAAACCCCUACGGGGGGCAGCAGUGGGAAAUCUUCCGCAAGGGGCGAAAGCCGGACGGGGCAACGCGGGGGGGGUGAUGAAGGCCUUCGGUUCGAAAACCCCUGUUAUUAGGGAGAAACAAAUGUGUAUGUAACUAUGCACGUCUUGACGGUACCAAAGCAGAAAGCCACGGCAAAUUACGG